CCUACGGGUGGCAGCAGUGGGGGAUAUUGCACAAUGGAGGAAACGCUGAUGCAGCAACGCCGCGUGAGGGAAGAAGGUCUUCGGAUUGUAAACAUCUGUCCUCAGGGACGAUAAUGACGGGACCUGAGGAGGAGGCUCCGGCUAACUACGUGCCAGCAGCCGCGGGAAUACGGAGGGAGCAAGCGUGGUCCGGAUUUACUGGUUGUACAGGGUGCGUAGGCGGCCCUGCAAGUCAGGUGUGAAAACUAUGUGCUUAACUCAUGCAUUGCACUUGAAACUGUGGGGCUUGAGUGAAGUAGAGGCAGGCGGAUUUCCCGGUGUAGCGGUGAAAUGCGUAGAGAUCGGGAAGAACACCAGUGGCGAAGGCGGCCUGCUGGGCUUUAACUGACGCUGAGGCACGAAAGCGUGGGUAGCAAACAGGAUUAGAUACCCCUGUAGUC
rnacentral:rRNA from 1 species